GAUGAACGCUAGCGACAGGCCUAACACAUGCAAGUCGAGGGGCAGCACAUGCGUAGCAAUACAAUGGUGGCGACCGGCGCACGGGUGAGUAACACGUAUGCAACCUACCUGUAAGAGGGGAAUAACCCGGAGAAAUUCGGACUAACACCGCAUAAUACCUCGAAGCUGCAUGGCUUUGAGGUUAAAUAUUUAUAGCUUACAGAUGGGCAUGCGUAACAUUAGAUAGUUGGUGAGGUAACGGCUCACCAAGUCAACGAUGUUUAGGGGUUCUGGGAGGAAGGUCCCCCACACGGGUACUGAGACACGGACCAGACUCCUACGGGAGGCAGCAGUGAGGAAUAUUGGUCAAUGGGCGGAGGCCUGAACCAGCCAAGUCGCGUGAAGGAAGAAGGUUCUAUGGAUUGUAAACUUCUUUUGUAGGGGAAUAAAAAGGCUUACGUGUAGGCUAUUGUAUGUACUUUACGAAUAAGGAUCGGCUAACUCCGUGCCAGCAGCCGCCGUAACAC
rnacentral:rRNA from 1 species